UUAGCUGGGAAGCACCAUUAGGUCUGACUUUCCCCUUGAGGUCCAGGAGAAGGGGAUGGAGUAGGCUUUCCUUCUGGAAAUCACAAGCGGAUCCUACCAGUGCUGCUGCUGCUGCCCGAAGGGUGCUGGACAUGGUGUACAAGCAAAGCUCCUGAAAGAGUGGGGCCACCUGCACUUGUUGGCAUUGAGGAGUGGGGAAGGCGCCUAUACACACCUGGGACAGAGCUGGGAGCUCCGUGCCAGCCCAGCCCCGGGCCCCUCAGUCCGACCACUCGUUAUCGUCCAGCUCGGAGUCAUCGUCAGACUCGCUGUACUCCACCGCGAUCCGGCGGGACAGGAUCGUUGCCACGUCAUUGCCCACGGGCUCUUUUUUGGCCUCUUGCUCCCACUGCUCCUGAACUUUCCGGAGUUGGAUUCCUGUGGUAGAGAAAGAAGGCUUUAGAGGCAACGUGUCCAGCACCUUUAGAAUGGUAGGGGUUGGGAGAGGCCUCUGUCAGCAGAAGGAUUGCACUGGAUGAUCUCCAAAGGAUCACCCAGAGCAGGUUAGCCAGGAUCACAAUGUCCAGGGGGAUUUUCAGGUUCUCCAGAGGAGGUGUCCCCACAACCUUUCUGGGCAGCCUGCUUCAAGGCUCCAACACCUGGUCACCUGGGGCUCAUCUUGCACUCAACAAAGACACCACCACUCAAUUCUGCACCAAGAGGUCCUUUGUCACCACAACAGCAGCACUGGGGACCUGUCUCCUGCUUACCGAUGCCGUCACUUACCCCUACGGAUGGCUGCCAGCAGGUCGCUCCGGGCAUCGCUCAUGGGCAUCAGUGGGAUCUGCGGCUUCCGGGGCUCCAUGGUGGGUGCCGGCGGUGAUGCCGAGUGCGCAGCUUCAGGUCUCACUGGCAGUUUCAGAGCAUGGUGGCCACAGAGAGGGCACUUUCCACUAUGUCAGCCCAGAAACUGGGGACUACAGACCCCCACCAAGCCCCUCUUUCCCUGGACAUGCCUCCAUUAGGACAGAGGAAGCCUUACCCGUAAUCCUUGACUAAGUGAGGUCUUGGCCCAUUGAGGAUAGCUUCUGGGGGCUGUGGUGGGUGGGGCUGCUGGAGGCGGUUGAGGCUGUUCUGCCGGCUGCCUGCUGCUGCAGCUGGGCGGUAGACAUGCUCCUGGGGGGUGGCAGCCACCAGCACCCCCUCAUUGUGCUCCGAUGGGGCCAGGUGAGACGCUGGGGCCAGCAGCUGUGCGGGGUGGUUGGGGCUUGCCGGGUACGAGUGGUCAGCCACAUCUGAAGCGUAAGAUCUAUGGCACAGGAAAACCCUGGGGUUGGAGCAGAAGACCUCUGUGUGUCUCUUCCAACCUAAACCAUUCUAUGAUCCUCGUGGUCCUACUCCUGGGAGCAGGGGUGGCUGGGUUGGGAGGUCAGAGAGAUGUGGGUAUGGGGGAUAUUUUGUGGUUAGAAUCAUAGAAUUGUUUUGGUUGGAAGAGUAUGUUGAGAACAUCAAAUCCAACUGUUAACCCAGCACUGCCUGAUCACCACUAAACCAUGUCCUCAGCACCACAUCUCCACACCUCUGAAACCCCUCAAGGGAUGGGCAUCAUGGUCCAGGCCUUGACAACCCUUUCAGUUGUUCCUCAUGUCCAACCUAAACACUUCCUGAUGCUGCUUGAAUCCAUUUCUUGUUAUCUUAUUGCUUGUUCCUUGGGAGAAGAGACUGACCCCACCUGGCUCUAACCUUCAGAGAGUUGUGGAGAUCCAGAAGAUCUUCCCUCAGUUCUCUCAGCUGCUCCUCACAAGCCUUAACACUCUUCUUAAGACAGCUAAACAGAAAAUGGCUACAAAAUACAGAUGUACAAGAAAGCAGAGCGACAGUGGAGGGGACGUGGACACCAAGAGAGCUGAGGUAGUCUUUUCCUUUAGCACUUCAACACCUAGGCUGCUCCUGAGGUCCAGGAUGUGACUCCCGGAGCUGUCUAUGAAGCUACCAUGGGGGUACAGCUUAUCACCCCGGCCUUGCUGCAGGCAGCACAUCUCCCAGAGAUGGAGAAGAGAAAAGCAAAGGAGAGGAAGUGAGCUAAACGUGCAGUAGGUGAAACCUGCCUAUUAUCUGGGGACAGUGAUCCUUCCGAUGACACCAUGUGAUAGGGGGAUGGUGAGAACCUGUUAUCAGGUCGGAACUCUUUAUCAUACGCCAUCAUGUUCCACUCCAGGCGCCGGUUCCGGGCUUUCCUCACUUUCUUCACCUCUCGAGUGGAGUCUUCCACCAGCCGCUGCUCCUGAGAACAUACACAAGCCAUGGCUCCAUCUCCAGCCCAGCUCCUUGGGACCGUGACUGGCAGGUGUCCAGGGAGCAUCAAGAUGCACCCACCACAGCAGGAAGGAACAUAUGGGAUGCACCAAAAAGGUGAUGGUCCCCCAGCUCCAGCCCCUCCCGGUGUCCCUCAUCUGUUUGUUACCUUCUGCCUGCGCUUCUCCUUUCUCUUAUCUUCUGUUGCCUGCAACAUUUUCUCCUUCCAUAAGUUGAAGAAAUACGAGGGGUCAGUGUAGAA